GGCGGGACACGUGAUAUCCUGUCUGAAUAUGGGGGGACCAUCCUCCAAGGCUAAAUACUACUGACUGACCGAUAGUGAACCAGUACCGUGAGGGAAAGGCGAAAAGAACCCCUGUGAGGGGAGUGAAAUAGAACCUGAAACCGUGUACGUACAAGCAGUAGGAGCAGGCUUUGUCCUGUGACUGCGUACCUUUUGUAUAAUGGGUCAGCGACUUAUAUUCAGUGGCAAGGUUAACCAUCUAGGGGAGCCGUAGGGAAACCGAGUCUUAACUGGGCGUUCAGUCUCUGGAUAUAGACCCGAAACCAGGUGAUCUAGCCAUGGGCAGGUUGAAGGUUGAGUAACAUCAACUGGAGGACCGAACCGACUAAUGUUGAAAAAUUAGCGGAUGACUUGUGGCUAGGGGUGAAAGGCCAAUCAAACCUGGAGAUAGCUGGUUCUCCCCGAAAGCUAUUUAGGUAGCGCCUCGGACGAAUACUACUGGGGGUAGAGCACUGUUAAGGCUAGGGGGUCAUCCCGACUUACCAACCCUUUGCAAACUCCGAAUACCAGUAAGUACUAUCCGGGAGACACACGGCGGGUGCUAACGUCCGUCGUGGAGAGGGAAACAACCCAGACCGCCAGCUAAGGUCCCAAAUUACUACUAAGUGGGAAACGAUGUGGGAAGGCUCAGACAGCCAGGAUGUUGGCUUAGAAGCAGCCAUCAUUUAAAGAAAGCGUAAUAGCUCACUGGUCGAGUCGGCCUGCGCGGAAGAUGUAACGGGGCUAAGUAGUAAACCGAAGCUGCGGCAAUAUACUUUUGUAUAUUGGGUAGGGGAGCGUUCUGUAAGCGGUUGAAGGUGUGUGGUAACGCAUGCUGGACGUAUCAGAAGUGCGAAUGCUGACAUGAGUAACGAUAAAGGGGGUGAAAAACCUCCUCGCCGGAAGACCAAGGGUUCCUGUCCAACGUUAAUCGGGGCAGGGUAAGUCGACCCCUAAGGCGAGGCCGAAAGGCGUAGUCGAUGGGAAACGGGUUAAUAUUCCCGUACUUCUUACAAUUGCGAUGGGGGGACGGAGAAGGCUAGGUGGGCCUGGCGACGGUUGUCCAGGUUCAAGUGCGUAGGCUUAAGAGUUAGGUAAAUCCGGCUCUUUUUAAGGCUGAGACACGACGUCGAGCACCUACGGGUGUGAAGUCAUUGAUGCCAUGCUUCCAGGAAAAGCCUCUAAGCUUCAGAUUGUAAGGAAUCGUACCCCAAACCGACACAGGUGGUCGGGUAGAGAAUACCAAGGCGCUUGAGAGAACUCGGGUGAAGGAACUAGGCAAAAUGGUACCGUAACUUCGGGAGAAGGUACGCUCUCGACGGUGAAGUCCCUUGCGGAUGGAGCUAUUGAGAGUCGCAGAUACCAGGUGGCUGCAACUGUUUAUUAAAAACACAGCACUGUGCAAAAUCGUAAGAUGACGUAUACGGUGUGACGCCUGCCCGGUGCCGGAAGGUUAAUUGAUGGGGUUAGACUUCGGUCGAAGCUCUUGAUCGAAGCCCCGGUAAACGGCGGCCGUAACUAUAACGGUCCUAAGGUAGCGAAAUUCCUUGUCGGGUAAGUUCCGACCUGCACGAAUGGCGUAAUGAUGGCCACGCUGUCUCCACCCGAGACUCAGUGAAAUUGAAAUCGCUGUGAAGAUGCAGUGUACCCGCGGCUAGACGGAAAGACCCCGUGAACCUUUACUACAGCUUGGCACUGAACAUUGACCCUACAUGUGUAGGAUAGGUGGGAGGCUUUGAAGCACGUACGCCAGUAUGUGUGGAGCCGUCCUUGAAAUACCACCCUUGUAGUGUUGAUGUUCUAACGUCGACCCCUAAUCGGGGUUGCGGACAGUGCCUGGUGGGUAGUUUGACUGGGGCGGUCUCCUCCCAAAGAGUAACGGAGGAGCACGAAGGUGGGCUAAUCACGGUUGGACAUCGUGAGGUUAGUGCAAUGGCAUAAGCCCGCUUGACUGCGAGAAUGACAAUUCGAGCAGGUGCGAAAGCAGGUCAUAGUGAUCCGGUGGUUCUGAAUGGAAGGGCCAUCGCUCAACGGAUAAAAGGUACUCCGGGGAUAACAGGCUGAUACCGCCCAAGAGUUCAUAUCGACGGCGGUGUUUGGCACCUCGAUGUCGGCUCAUCACAUCCUGGGGCUGAAGUCGGUCCCAAGGGUAUGGCUGUUCGCCAUUUAAAGUGGUACGCGAGCUGGGUUUAGAACGUCGUGAGACAGUUCGGUCCCUAUCUGCCGUGGGCGUUGGAAGAUUGAAGGGGGCUGCUCCUAGUACGAGAGGACCGGAGUGGACGAACCUCUGGUGUUCGGGUUGUGUCGCCAGACGCAUUGCCCGGUAGCUAAGUUCGGAAUCGAUAACCGCUGAAAGCAUCUAAGCGGGAAGCGAGCCCUGAGAUGAGUCUUCCCUGAUACUUUAAGUAUCCUAAAGGGUUGUCGGAGACUACGACGUUGAUAGGUCAGGUGUGUAAGUGCUGUGAGGCAUUGAGCUAACUGAUACUAAUUGCCCGUGAGGCUUAACCAU
rnacentral:rRNA from 1 species